CAGAAUAUAGCUAAACUUUAUAGCAUUUCCCUUACACUGAGAAGUUACCCGCGCAACCCGAGUUAUUCUGA
rnacentral:tRNA from 1 species